UUGAGUUUAAAAACUCUCAAUGAUCUGCUUUUAAAUUUCUUGAGUUAAAAAACUCUCAAUGAUCUGCAUUUUGAUGAGGAUAAAAUAUUUCAAGUAAGACUUGGCUAAUGUUGUCCGAUUGGGAAAUGCUCUACGCCUAUCUUGAAGCUCUUCUUGUUAGCGAAGGCACAUUAUUGUGCAACGCUUGAUGGGUUGCGGCUUAAUAAAGAGGUUCAUUGGCGUCUCUAGUCUACAAAGUUUUGCUGACACAAAAAAGGAUUUGACUGUUCUACAGAAUACCGUCUGGUUCAACAAAAAUGUUGGAUCCUGCAUUUUAAGGAGCUGACCAGAAACUGUAUCCUUUCAGCAAAAUAACUACUUUUUGCAUUAGUAUUAGACAUCUAAGGAGCAAUUUGAUUUUUUUUUCAUGAGAUUCUACCUGACAGCUUCUUCGAUUAUAUAUAAUGUUAAUAUCUCUUACAAGACAGAGUAGCAUAUGUAUGGGAAGUGUGCGUUCCUUUUAUUAUCAUCAUUCACAUUGUGCUAUGUUUAUCUUCCAUUUGUGCAGACAAGACAAAAUAAAGGGGAUGAUGCUUAUUGUUUGAUAUCCAUUUGUGGAUUGGUAAAUGUACAAGUCAGGAUGAAGCUGGAACUGCAGCUGCUAAAACAGUUGAACUCGAUGCUGUUCUUGGAGGUCGUGCUGUCCAACACAGGGAAAUUCACGGCCAUGAAUCUGACAAAUUCUUGUCUGACUUCAAAUCAUGUAUUAUUCUGUUAGAGUGUGGUGUUGCGUCUAAAUUUAAAAUACAUGAAGAAGAGGUGUUUGAGACCCGGUGAUAUACCUGUUCCUUUUGCCCGCCCAUCGCUGAAUCAUGAUGAAGUAUUUAUCUUGGAACCAAGGAAAAGAUUAUCAGUUCAAUGGUGCAAAUUCGAACAUUCAGGAGAGAGCCAAAGCUUUGGAAGUCGUUCAGUAUUUGAAAGACAAGUAUCACGAAGGAACUUGCGAUUGUUGGUAAGCAAAUUGCAGGCUCUUCCUCAGUUUCCCUCUAGUCAAGAAACAGUGUUUGAAUGCUUAAAGAAUAGAUUUUGUGUGUGGCAUAGUUUACAGAGAUGGUGGAAACUAAUCUAUAUUCAUACUUUGCUGGUAUAAGAUGAUAGAAAAUUAGAUACAGGAUCAGAUUCUGGUGCAUUUUGGGUCCUCUUUGGUGGUUUUGCACCAAUUGGAAGGAAAGUUGCCAAUGAUGAUGACAUUUCUCCAGAGUCAUCUCCCCCUAAACUCUAUUGGUGGAACCUAUAUAGAUGGUGAUCUAUCCAAAUCUAUGCUGGAAAACACAAAAUGCUACCUCUUGGACUAUGGAUGAGAGGAAAGUUGCUAGUGAUCAUUGCUUCUCACUUUUUACCUUUCAUCUUCAGGAUUUCCUUGCUAGUGACAAUAG